rnacentral:misc_RNA from 1 species
GAUGAAGAACGUAGUGAAAUGCGAUAAGUAAUGUGAAUUGCAGAAUUCAGUGAAUCAUCGAAUCUUUGAACGCAUCUUGCGCUCCUUGGUAUUCCGAGGAGCAUGCCUGUUUGAGUGUCAUUAAAGUUCUCAACCACGUAAUUACAUAUGUGGCUUGGAUGUGGGGGUUUGCAGGCUUUCUCUGAGGGUCUGCUCCUCUGAAAUGCAUUAGUGGUAUUCCUGAGCUUUACUACAGAUGUGAUAAUUUAUCUACAUCCCAAAAGUAUGCUUCAACAACACCGCUCCUAACAAGCGAAAGCACAUUUCGAUGAAUUUGACCUCAAAUCAGGUAGGACUACCCGCUGAACUUAAGCAUAUCAAUAAGCGGAGGA